GCCACCUCCCCUAGCGCGCCUCCGCUGGCCCCCUUCACCAGCGCGCCUCCAUCGGCCACUGCCCAGUGCGCCGCCCCCCCCCCCCCCAACGCGCCUCCGCCGGCCCCCUUCGCCAGCGCGCCUCCAUCAGCCCCUGCCCAGUGCGCUGUCGCCGCCCCCUCCCCCAGCGCGCCUCCGCCGGCCCCCUCCCCCAGCGCGCCUCUGUCGGUCCCUGGCCAGUGCGCCGCCGCCGCCCCCUACCCCAGCGCGGCUCCGCCAGCCCUUGCUAAGCGCGCCGCAGCCGACCCCCUCCCCCAACGCACCUCCGCCGCCCCCUGCCCUAGUGCGCCGCCGCCAAAACCCUGUCGGGCAUGCCGCCGUCGGCCUCCUGCCCAGCACGCCGCCGCCACGACCUCCCUCCCUCAGUGCGGCGCCACCUACCUCCGAGCACCGCCGGUCUUCGCGCACAACUAUCCCACUGCUGCCUCGUGCGCCAACUCUGUCCUGAGGCUAGCCACGGUGGUGGAUCACCGAGGGAUGGCCGGUCCUUUCCACCGGCGGCCGCACUCCCGACGUGUCUCGUGCGAUUGCGCCAAUAGAGGCUUGCUUCCAUCACCAUCCUCCUUCCAGAGUAAAAUGGCAAUGGCGACAACGUCCAGUAGGUCCUCCUGUGCCUCUGCUCACCCCGCCUUCACCACCGGCCAGCCGUGCAAAUCCCUCUAAAAAAGUUCAGCCUCCUAGUUGAAGUUCACCUCCAUGUGCUGCUCCACUCGUAGCUCCCAGCCUACCCUCGAGCAAGUAUGUGCCAUGCACGAGAUCAGUUCAACCUGUGCACUUGCUCGACCUCGAUGCUUGUGGCAGUCCCACAAGGACGAGUGUGGUCUACAAUCGAGCAGUUGGUUCCCAAGAGAGUUCCUGGCCGAAGGUGGGCUUCCACGUUGAGGUGUGGAACGCAAUGUACAUGGAGAUCCUGAUGUAGUAGUAGUACAAUGAUGGCGAUGUUGCGCAGGUGGACCUCAUGGAGUUCGGCUGGGCUGGCGGCGGUCGGCGGUGGACGCGGGUCCAUGAGUUGUGGGGCUCCAUCUGCCGCUCGACCACCGCUUACUCCCACUCUGUUCACUGGUUUUGUUUUCACUCUCACGCCUGUUCCUCGUCGACCUGCAGUAGCAGGAGACACGAGAUCACCUCCGGCACCGCUGGUCACAUGAAGGCCGUCAAAGAUGUUAUAUUCUCCGUAAAAAUAGGUGUUUGCUUAUCUAUAUUCUCUAUUGUUGAAUUGUAGCACACAUAUUUUCCUCGCGUGCCCCAGUGAGGCCGAUCCCUCAUCAUGGAAACAUAGAGCUUCCAUUCACAAGUACACCAACAUGUUUGGUGCUCGUUCAUAAGUGCUUGUUCAUGCAGAUCUCAUAUCCUUGUGUGUGCGCCUGUGUUGAUGAACUUUGUGCUAAAAUGAGUUCAACUGAAUUUAGACCUCUGUACAAAGUUCAACUAAGCCCUUGACACCCCUGUUACAAUGUGAUAUACAUGCUGCCAAUCUCGCAUUGACGAUGAAAAUUCAUUAGAAACAAAAGUUCAAUUUUGCUAAUUCCUGAAGUUCUGUGGUUAGCACAAACUGGUGGUUCAUUUUGCUAAUUGUUGCGGCCUACAAUUUCUUUUUGUUUUGCUAAAAAUGGUAAUUUUGGUUUGUCAGAAGAUGGUGAACUAUGGGAGUACUUUCCUUGCUCUUUCUGCUACAUCAAGGUCGAAAAAGCCCUUCAUCUGCAUCCAUCUGCGGCAGGAACACUGCUUUGACAUCAGGAACUAUAUGAGAGAGUCUCUCCUCUCUUUUCCUUUUGCCUUCUAAUCCCCAAGUGUUCGUUAUUGCAUAUUAGUUUUGAUCAAGACAUAACCUUGAGCUAAUAAAAUGUUCUUGCUGGAAAUGCAUUUACAAAAUUAUUGACAUCUUUUAGUUAGUAAGGCUGUAAGAAAUCUAGAGAUCCCUAGUAUGCCAGUAUAUGUUUCUUUAUACAAUCCCAAAUGAAUUAUAUAGCUCCUGAUAACAGAAUAAAUAUUCUGGAAAAAGCUCAAAUACUAUCAUACGGUCAGUUCAAAAAAAUCUGACGAGCACUUGCAAUGUACAUAGUUUUUGCAGAAAAGAUUUCAAAAACUCGGGUUCAACGAGUUAAUGAAUUGCUAUAAGUUCAAAUUUCCUAAUAUCUACAGUUCAGGUUGAGGAAUUUAGGUAGUUC